AUGGAUUAUUUGGGACCAAACCAACAUUUGUUAUUGAAGUAGAAGUCCUGGGAGUGCAUUCUGACGAAGACAACAAAGAUCCACAGAUGAUGCAAUCUCUACUGCACUCCACACUUCCCUUUCACACCUGGACAAAAGGAACACCUAUGUGAGAAUGCUAUUCAUUGACUACAGCUCAGCGUUCAACACCAUAGUGGCCUCAAAGCUCAAACCUAAACACCUACCUCUGCAACUGGAUCCUGGACUUCCUGACGGGGCUGACCUUCAUGUGCAGAGGUUUGUCCGACAUAAGGAACUCACAGGUCGUCUCACUAUCCUCCGGAGUGUACUGGAUCUUACGGAUGGCAAGACGCACAGAGCUCCUGUGGGAUACCGAGAGCAACGAUCAGUAGCCUGGUGGCUUGGGGAAGAACUGUCAUGCAGUCCAACACUUGAUUCUGAAAUGAAAUGAAUUGGACCUGUAGUGCAGUAAACCAGAACAUACAAAUAUCCAGAGCAACAAAAG
rnacentral:lncRNA from 1 species